UAGGGAAUCUUCGGCAAUGGACGAAAGUCUGACCGAGCAACGCCGCGCGAGUGAAGAAGGUUUUCGGAUCGUAAAACUCUGUUGUUAGAGAAGAACAAGGACGUUAGUAACUGAACGUCCCCUGACGGUAUCUAACCAGAAAGCCACGGCUAACUACGUGCCAGCAGCCGCGGUAAUACGUAGGUGGCAAGCGUUGUCCGGAUUGAUUGGGCGUAAAGCGAGCGCAGGCGGUUUCUUAAGUCUGAUGUGAAAGCCCCCGGCUCAACCGGGGAGGGUCAUUGGAAACUGGGUGACUUGAGUGCAGAAGAGGCGAGUGAAAUUCCAUGUGUAGCGGUGAAAUGCGUAGAUAUAUGGAGGAACACCAGUGGCGAAGGCGGCUCUCUGGUCUGUGACUGACGCUGAGGCUCGAAAGCGUGGGGAGCAAACAGG
rnacentral:rRNA from 1 species